GCUGGGAUGGCCGAGUCGUUAAGGCGAGUGAUUUGAAUCGUCUUUGAAGUGUCAUCUUAUCACUUGGUGUUUCACCGCGUAGGUUCAAAUCCUGCUCCCAGCG
rnacentral:tRNA from 1 species